GUCGGUAAAACUCGUGCCAGCCACCGCGGUUAUACGAGAGGCCCAAGUUGACAAACCCCGGCGUAAAGAGUGGUUAAGAAGAGUUUAAAACUAAAGCCGAACACCCUCAAAGCUGUUAUACGCACCCGAAGGUAAGAAGCCCAAUCACGAAAGUGGCUUUACAUUUCCUGAGUCCACGAAAGCUAUGAAACAAACUGGGAUUAGAUACCCCACUAUG
rnacentral:rRNA from 1 species